UAUUCAGGUGUGCAGCGGUGGAGCUUCCUGUCCUCCGCUCCCUGCUUGCUUCCGUGGUGGCUGUGGUUUGGCAUGACGGCGUUGGUGGACGCAGCCGUUCUCUGGUGUAUCCAGCUGUUGUGAUUGCCGUCAAGGCAUGCUGUCUGAAUACCGUGGCUGAGUGCUGGGGUGAAUUCCCCGGGGUGAAGCGGGGAUCUGCUGGAGCCCUGCUGGGCAUAGGAUCACAGGCUCGCUCUGGGUGUGUGUGAGCCGUAUUCUUGUGGCUCACACCCUCCAGUUGCCAGGUACGUGACGGGUUGGUUUCCCCAGCCGCUAUUCUGAUUUUAUGUAAUGAGUUUUUUAACUCAGUGUUAUUUUUCUUUCCAGUUAACAGCCCGGCAUAAUCGGACUGCCACCAUCACUUCAAGCUGAGCUGCUGUUUUGGUUCUCUUUAAUAUUUGUUUGGUGAACUGUUUAUGUUUUUUUCAUUCAGUUGUUUGCGGCGGCUUGGAGCGGACUUCUCAGCCCAGUACGGCUGAGUGCCGUCUGCGUCCGCUCCGUGCAGAGGCUGGUUGUGUUGCUGCUGUGCCAGAACUUGUACAGCUGCAAGGGCUACUUCACUUGAUGGUGUUUUGUUUUCUUUGUUAUUUGGAAAUUAAUUCAGGUAUUUCCUUUUGGUGUCUUGGUUUGCUUUGUUGCAUUACUUUAAUUGUGUUUUUGUUAUUUUCUUUGUGAGUUUAUUUAGCCUCAUGUAUUGAUUUAAUUCAUCAUUUAUUGUUCUUUGGUUUUGUUUUCUUUUUUCCACACCAGUUAUGGUUAGUUUGGGCACGUUUUAUUAAUCUUUGUCUCUGUCUUCUGUGUACAGGUGCUGUGGCUUACUGUGGCAGUUAUUUCCUGCUGGUGGUGUCUUCUUCACGGUCCCCCCUUUCUUUUGGUUUUGUGUGUGUAUUAUUUGCAGUGUCACGGGUGAUUCAUUUGAGGAUUCCUCUCCCCUUUUUGGUUGUCCUGCCACAGGUUAAGCCCCAGCCUGGGUUUUUUUUUUUUUUUUUUAAUUCCUUGUUGCCCAUUCUUUCUUUUAGUUAGUAUAUGUUAACUGCUGUGUGACAUUAUUUCCUUCCUCACAAAUUGUUAAUAAACAUUGUUAAAUUUGAA